rnacentral:lncRNA from 1 species
ACAUAGGGCUGGGGAUGUGGCUCAGUGGUUGAAUGUCCCUGAGUUCAAUAUCUGGCACAAAAAAAAAGGAGAAAGAAUAAAGACAGAGGAGUAGAGGAGUAACAGGAAUCUCUGUAAGGGUCAGAAAUGCAGCAGGGAGGAGACAGUAUAUGCAGCGCCAAAUGCAGGAGAGCAAGCAAGGUGUGAGUGGUUCCCAUGGUGGCAGUAUGGAGGUACCUACUGUACUGAGAGUCUGGACCCACAGCGAAUGGUCAGGCCAGCCUGCCUCAGGCCUCUGGCCCUUUACCUUCUAACUGGGGUCCUUAAGGAAACACACAAGUGCUUCACCUGCAUUCUCUUUCUCAAAUACGCCCCUACUGUGCUGGGAAUGGAACCCAUAGGCCCUCUCAGGCUAAUUGCUGGCUCUACCACUAGGCUACACCCCCAGCCCUUCAUCUCUGAUUUAUUCCUAUUUACUAACAUCUACAUCCACCAAGGAUUUCAGUGGCCCUCCUUCAGGUUUUUCCAGUCUCUUCCACAUUUCCUCCCUGCCUCACUCCCAUCUUUGUCUCCAUCUAUCUUGAUUUGUCACUCAGCUCUUCUACCCCAUUCUUCUGCUUUGAUCUCCCUGGCUGAUGGUUCUCACACUCCCUAUAGCCCCUGGAAUUGCCAUCCACAUAUGUGCAUGGGGAAAAGGGAAAAUACUGGGUGGGCAAGGUGUUCUAAAGAGAUGGGCUUAAUCAAGGAAGAGGAAGAGGGUCUAAACCCUGACAGUAGGGUCACCCUAUCCACUUGAUCAAGAAGAGAUCCUGAGUCAUGUACAACUAAUUAGAAUAAAUUUAAAAAAUAAAAUAAAAAGGAAGUGAUCCUGAGAGGCUAGGGAGAAAGACAGACAUGGGAAAUUAAAGACAGGUAAUAGAGAGACACACAGGAAGAAUCAGAAGAAUAGGGAGAAAGAUACCAACAGAAAAAAAGGUGGGUGCAAUGGUGAACACCAUGGUAUGUGCCUGUAAUCCUAGAUACUGGGAAGGUAAGGGAGGAGGAUCUCUUGAACCCAGGAGUUCAAGGCCAGCCUGGGGAACAUAGGGGCACCAGAGGUUACAGAGAAAUCAAAGGAGAGACAGAUACAGAGUGAUACCCGGAGACAUAAGAAGUGGUACAACAAGCAAAAAAAGGAAAAAGAUUAAUAGAAAGGAGAUGGAGAUAGUUGAGACAAAAGUUGAAAACAAAAAUGAAAACAGAUGGGCAGAGAAAGUGUGACAAGAUGGAGAUGGUAAGAAAGAGUGCCAUGGGUUCAAUCUCCAAUAAAAAAAAAAAAAUAGGCUGAGGUCGUGGCUCAGUGGUAGAGCAUUUGCCUAGCACAUGUGAGGCAUUGGGUUGAUCCUCAGCAUCACAUAAAAAUAAAUGAAUAAGGGCUGGGGAUGUGGCUCAAGCGGUAGUGCGCUCGCCUGUCAUGCGUGCGGCCCGGGU